rnacentral:tRNA from 6 species
GCCGGUGUGAUGGAAUUGGCAGACGUGACGGACUCAAAAUCCGUUGGUAGCGAUACCGUGUCGGUUCGAGUCCGACCACCGGCACCA